UUAGGGUGCGAGCGUUAAUCGGAAUUACUGGGCGUAGAGCGUGCGCAGGCGGUUCGCUAAGACCGAUGUGAAAUCCCCGGGCUUAACCUGGGAACUGCAUUGGUGACUGGCGGGCUAGAGUAUGGCAGAGGGGGGUAGAAUUCCACGUGUAGCAGUGAAAUGCGUAGAGAUGUGGAGGAAUACCGAUGGCGAAGGCAGCCCCCUGGGCCAAUACUGACGCUCAUGCACGAAAGCGUGGGGGGAGCAAACAGGAUUAGAUACCCUGGUAGUCCACGCCCCUAAACGAUGUCAACUAGUUGUCGGGUCUUCAUUGACUUGGUAACGUAGCUAACGCGUGAAGUUGACCGCCUGGGAGUACGGUCGCAAGAUUA
rnacentral:rRNA from 1 species